rnacentral:rRNA from 1 species
AGGGCACCACCAGGAGUGGAGCCUGCGGCUUAAUUUGACUCAACACGGGAAAACUCACCCGGCCCGGACACUGGAAGGAUUGACAGAUUAAGAGCUCUUUCUUGAUUCAGUGGGUGGUGGUGCAUGGCCGUUCUUAGUUGGUGGAGUGAUUUGUCUGGUUAAUUCCGAUAACGAACGAGACUCUAGCCUAUUAAAUAGAUCGUUGGCUUACAAACGCCGGCGAGACUUCUUAGAGGGACAGGCGGCGAUUCAGCCGCACGAAACAGAGCAAUAACAGGUCUGUGAUGCCCUUAGAUGUCCGGGGCCGCACGCGCGCUACACUGAAGUGAUCAGCGUGCAUUUUGAAACCUACUCUGUCAAGAGUGGGGAACCCAAUGAACCUUCUUCGUGAUUGGGAUAGGGGAUUGUAAUUAUUCCCCUUGAACGAGGAAUUCCCAGUAAGCGCGAAUCAUAAGUUUGCGCUGAUUACGUCCCUGCCCUUUGUACACACCGCCCGUCGCUACUACCGAUUGAAUGUUU